rnacentral:rRNA from 1 species
GAUGAACGCUGGCGGCAUGCCUAAUACAUGCAAGUCGAACGAACUAGUUUACUAGUUAGUGGCGAACGGGUGAGUAACACGUAGGUAACCAACCCUUUAAGCGAGGAUAACUCCGGGAAACUGGAGCUAAUACUGGAUAGGAUAUAUUUUCAGAAGAAGAUAUAUUUAAAGAUCCUUUCGGGGAUCGAUAAAGGAUGGACUUGCGUCGCAUUAGAUAGUUGGUGAGGGUAACGGCCCACCAAGUCAACGAUGCGUAGCUGAGCUGAGAGGCUGAACAGCCACACUGGGACUGAGACACGGCCCAG